rnacentral:rRNA from 1 species
AUUGAACGCUGGCGGCAUGCCUUACACAUGCAAGUCGAACGGCAGCAUGAUCUAGCUUGCUCGAUUGAUGGCGAGUGGCGAACGGGUGAGUAAUACAUCGGAACGUGCCCUGUAGUGGGGGAUAACUAGUCGAAAGAUUAGCUAAUACCGCAUACGACCUGAGGGUGAAAGUGGGGGACCGCAAGGCCUCAUGCUAUAGGAGCGGCCGAUGUCUGAUUAGCUAGUUGGUGAGGUAAAGGCUCACCAAGGCGACGAUCAGUAGCUGGUCUGAGAGGACGAUCAGCCACACUGGGACUGAGACACGGCCCAGGCUCCUACGGGAGGCAGCAGUGGGGAAUUUUGGACAAUGGGCGAAAGCCUGAUCCAGCAAUGCCGCGUGUGUGAAGAAGGCCUUCGGGUUGUAAAGCACUUUUGUCCGGAAAGAAAUGGCUCUGGUUAAUACCUGGGGUCGAUGACGGUACCGGAAGAAUAAGGACCGGCUAACUACGUG